AAAAUUUGUAUGGAGGGUUGGCCGAGUGGUCUAAGGCGGCAGACUUAAGAUCUGUUGGACGGUUGUCCGCGCGAGUUCGAACCUCGCAUCCUUCAGUAAUUUUUUUUUUUAAUUUA
rnacentral:tRNA from 1 species